CUGGGCUAGACAACGGCGGACCGUCCUAGAAAUAGGACUUUACCUUCGGGGACUGCCGGUUCAGGUGCUGCAUGGCUGUCGUCAGCUCGUGCCGUGAGGUGUUGGGUUAAGUCCCGCAACGAGCGCAACCCUCGUCCUUAGUUGCCACCAUUCAGUUGGGCACUCUAGGGAGACUGCCGGCGUUAAGCCGGAGGAAGGUGGGGACGACGUCAAGUCAUCAUGGCCUUAUGUCCAGGGCCACACACGUGCUACAAUGGGCGGUACAAAGGGUCGCGAACCCGCGAGGGGGAGCCAAUCCCAAAAAGCCGCUCUCAGUUCGGAUUGGAGUCUGCAACUCGACUCCAUGAAGUUGGAAUCGCUAGUAAUCGCGGAUCAGAACGCCGCGGUGAAUACGUUCCCGGGCCUUGUACACACCGCCCGUCACACCAUGGAAGCCAGCUGUACCGGAAGUCGGUGAUUUAACCCGCAA
rnacentral:rRNA from 1 species